CCUACGGGGGACAGCAGUGAGGAAUAUUGGUCAAUGGACGAGAGUCUGAACCAGCCAAGUAGCGUGAAGGAUGACUGCCCUAUGGGUUGUAAACUUCUUUUAUAAAGGAAUAAAACGAGGCACGUGUGCCUUUUUGCAAGUAUUUUAUGAAUAAGGAUCGGCUAACUCCGUGCCAGCAGCCGCGGUAAUACGGAGGAUCCGAGCGUUAUCCGGAUUUAUUGGGUUUAAAGGGAGCGUAGAUGGGUUGUUAAGUCAGUUGUGAAAGUUUGCGGCUCAACCGUAAAAUUGCAAUUGAUACGGGCAGUCUAGAGUACAGUUGAGGUAGGCGGAAUUCGUGGUGUAGCGGUGAAAUGCUUAGAUAUCACGAAGAACCCCGAUUGCGAAGGCAGCUUACUAAGCUGUGUCUGACAUUGAUGCUCGAAAGUGUGGGGAGCAAACAGGAUUAGAUACCCCAGUAGUC
rnacentral:rRNA from 1 species